rnacentral:rRNA from 1 species
AUUGAACGCUGGCGGCGUGCCUAACACAUGCAAGUCGAGCGGUAACAGGUGUAGCAAUACAUGCUGACGAGCGGCGAACGGGUGAGUAAUGCUUUGGAAUCUUCCCAGUAGUGGGGAAUAACCAGUCGAAAGAUUGGCUAAUACCGCAUACGUCUGUAAAGGGAAAGCGGGGGACUCGCCUCUUCUUCGGAAGAGAGGCCUCGCGCUAUUGGAUGAGCCAAAGCGGAUUAGCUAGUUGGUGGGGUAAUGGCCUACCAAGGCGACAAUCCGUAGCUGGUCUGAGAGGACGACCAGCCACACCGGAACUGAGACACGGCCCGGACUCCUACGGGAGGCAGCAGUGGGAAUAUUGGACAAUGGGGAAACCCUGAUCCAGCGACGCCGCGUGUGUGAAGAAGGCCU